rnacentral:tRNA from 1 species
GGCUACGUAGCUCAGCUGGUUAGAGCACAGCACUCAUAAUGCUGGGGUCCUCAGUUCGAUUCUGAGCGUAGCCACCA